UACGUAGGGUGCGAGCGGUAAUCGGAAUUACUGGGCGUAAAGCGUGCGCAGGCGGUUUGAGAAGCCAGAUGUGAAAUCCCCGAGCUCAACUUGGGAACUGCGUUUGGAACUGUCAGACUAGAGUGCGUCAGAGGGGGGUGGAAUUCCGCGUGUAGCAGUGAAAUGCGUGGAGAUGAGGAGGAAAACCGAUGGCGAAGGCAGCCCCCUGGGAUGACACUGACGCUCAUGCACGAAAGCGUGUGGAGCAAACAGG
rnacentral:rRNA from 1 species